rnacentral:rRNA from 1 species
GAGUUUGAUCUUGGCUCAAAACCAGCGCUGGCGGCUUGGCUAGCACAUGCCAGUCGAGCGGCUAACCUUGCUUAUGAGCGGCGGACGGGGGAGUAACGCGUGGGAAUAUGCCCUUGGGUGCGGGACAACCGUUGGAAACGACGGCUAAUACCGCAUAAUGUCUACGGACCAAAGAUUUAUCGCCCAAGGAUUGGCCCGCGUUAGAUUAGCUAGAUGGUGGGGUCACGGCUCACCAUGGCGACGAUCUAUAGCUGGUUUGAGAGGAUGAUCAGCCACACUGGGACUGAGACACGGCCCAGACUCCUACGGGAGGCAGCAGUGGGGAAUCUUGGACAAUGGGGGCAACCCUGAUCCAGCCAUGCCGCGUGAGUGAUGAAGGCCUUAGGGUUGUAAAACUCUUUCAGCGGGGACGAUAAUGACGGUACCCGCAGAAGAAGCCCCGGCUAACUCCGUGCCAGCAGCCGCGGUAAUACGGAGGGGGCUAGCGUUGUUCGGAA